UUACGGCCACAUCUUGUUGAAACACUAGUUUUCAUAAGAUCACCAAAGUUAAGCAAUAUUGAGCCUGGUCAGUACCUAGAUGGAUGAGUGCUUGGGAAUAUUAAGUGCUGUAAG